rnacentral:rRNA from 1 species
UGUUUAAUUUUUUUUUUAAAUAAAGCCUGCUCAAUGAAAAUUAAAUAGCCGCAGAAUUUUAACUGUGCUAAGGUAGCAUAAUCAUUAGAUUUUUAAUUAAAAUCUAGAAUGAAAGGUUUAACUUUUAUUUACUUUAUUAAAUUCACUUAAUUUAAAUUAAAUUAAAAAUAAAAAUAUUUUUAUAACAAAAUAGACGACAAGACCCUAUUGAACUUAACUUUAGUUAAGCUGGGGCAGCUAUUUAAAAAUAAUUUUAAUUUUAAUAAUUAUAUAAAUACCUAAUAUUAUUAAAUAAAUAAGUUACCAUAGGGAUAACAGCGUAAUUUUUUAUAAAAGUUCUUAUUAAAUAUAAAGAUUGCGACCUCGAUGUUGAAUUAUUACCCUAAUAGAAGCAAAACUUUAAAAAGGGAGUCUGUUCGACUUUUAAAUAUAUACA